GAGCAUGAAGAAGGUGAGGGCAGAAGUGUCGUGCUCCAUCCUGGAAAGACUUAGCCAGGCAGCAAGCUGAGGGCCAGACAGAGGGGUGGGAGUGUGAGAACUACAUUGUUGAACUGAGAGAAACAGAAGCAGCUGAAAAUCUCCACAGUAGUGCUGAAGAGGAAACAAAAAUACUGUCCCCCCAGUCCAGUUCUCCUCAUGAUCAUGUGGAAUUAGAAAUUACCAAAACUGUCCUACCUCAUGCAGAUUUUCAGAUAAGGGAGGAGAUGUAAAGCUCUUGUGUCAGGAUCCAGCCUUGAUUUUGCUGAUGAAUUGUAAGGAGAAAUACAUCACAAAAUGCAGAAAAUCACCACCCGUUCUUCAGUCCCUUCAGGGAUGCAAAGCCCAUGCAAAUUUCCUUUCCACAGUGUAAGAAUAUGAUUAAAAUGGCACAGAAAAGGACCAAGGGCAUGCUUGCCUUUGCUCAGUUUUUUUUUUUUUUCAGUUUUCUUUACAGGGAACUUUCUUUAAAUUCUUGUUUUUAUUUUUCAGAUGUCACAUUAACUCCAAAGAUGUUUUGUCUUCUCACAUGGGGGAGGCAGCAGAACCUUACCAUCUCUCCUCUCUCAAAACUUUCCCCCCAUCUACUCAAAAGAGCAUGAGACAAAUAGUGUUGCAAGGUCACUGAACUUCCAUAAAGUCUUCCAGUCAUCUGUGACACUUUCAGGUCACCUAUGCUGUCCACGAGAUAACAAGAUCAAGAAGAAUCCUAACUACUGAGUAACUAUACCCCAGGUUUUAAGAAUUUCUCUGCCACGGUGAAGAAGCCACUUCUGGACACCAGUGCUAUGGGACCAACUAAGUAUAUCCAUAAACAAGCAUUUCUACUUGCCCAUAAACAUGUCAUCAUCAAGAUCAACCUCAAGAGCC